rnacentral:rRNA from 1 species
GACGAACGCUGGCGGCGUGCUUAACACAUGCAAGUCGAACGCUGAAGCUUGGUGCUUGCACUGGGUGGAUGAGUGGCGAACGGGUGAGUAAUACGUGAGUAACCUGCCCUUGACUCUGGGAUAAGCCUGGGAAACUGGGUCUAAUACUGGAUACGACAUGCCACUGCAUGGUGGUGUGUGGAAAGGGUUUUACUGGUUUUGGAUGGGCUCACGGCCUAUCAGCUUGUUGGUGGGGUAAUGGCCUACCAAGGCGACGACGGGUAGCCGGCCUGAGAGGGUGAUCGGCCACACUGGGACUGAGACACGGCCCAGACUCCUACGGGAGGCAGCAGUGGGGAAUAUUGCACAAUGGGCGGAAGCCUGAUGCAGCGACGCCGCGUGAGGGAUGACGGCCUUCGGGUUGUAAACCUCUUUCAGCACGGAAGAAGCGAGAGUGACGGUACGUGCAGAAGAAGCGCCGGCUAACUACGUG